rnacentral:sRNA from 1 species
GCCAGGCGCGGUGGUGCACGCCUGUAAUCCCAGCAGCUUGGGAGGCUGAGGCAGGAGGAUUGUGAGUUCAAAGCCAGCCUCAG